GGAGAGGUGGCCGAGUGGCUUAAGGCGGCGGUUUGCUAAACCGCUGUACUGGUUAAUACCGGUACCUGGGGUUCAAAUCCCCACCUCUCCGCCA
rnacentral:tRNA from 1 species